CUGGCGGCGUGCCUAAUACAUGCAAGUCGAACGAACUCUGGUAUUGAUUGGUGCUUGCAUCAUGAUUUACAUUUGAGUGAGUGGCGAACUGGUGAGUAACACGUGGGAAACCUGCCCAGAAGCGGGGGAUAACACCUGGAAACAGAUGCUAAUACCGCAUAACAACUUGGACCGCAUGGUCCGAGUUUGAAAGAUGGCUUCGGCUAUCACUUUUGGAUGGUCCCGCGGCGUAUUAGCUAGAUGGUGNGGUAACGGCUCACCAUGGCAAUGAUACGUAGCCGACCUGAGAGGGUAAUCGGCCACAUUGGGACUGAGACACGGCCCAAACUCCUACGGGAGGCAGCAGUAGGGAAUCUUCCACAAUGGACGAAAGUCUGAUGGAGCAACGCCGCGUGAGUGAAGAAGGGUUUCGGCUCGUAAAACUCUGUUGUUAAAGAAGAACAUAUCUGAGAGUAACUGUUCAGGUAUUGACGGUAUUUAACCAGAAAGCCACGGCUAACUACGUGCCAGCAGCCGCGGUAAUACGUAGGUGGCAAGCGUUGUCCGGAUUUAUUGGGCGUAAAGCGAGCGCAGGCGGUUUUUUAAGUCUGAUGUGAAAGCCUUCGGCUCAACCGAAGAAGUGCAUCGGAAACUGGGAAACUUGAGUGCAGAAGAGGACAGUGGAACUCCAUGUGUAGCGGUGAAAUGCGUAGAUAUAUGGAAGAACACCAGUGGCGAAGGCGCUGUCUGGUCUGUAACUGACGCUGAGGCUCGAAAGUAUGGGUAGCAAACAGGAUUAGAUACCCUGGUAGUCCAUACCGUAAACGAUGAAUGCUAAGUGUUGGAGGGUUUCCGCCCUUCAGUGCUGCAGCUAACGCAUUAAGCAUUCCGCCUGGGGAGUACGGCCGCAAGGCUGAAACUCAAAGGAAUUGACGGGGGCCCGCACAAGCGGUGGAGCAUGUGGUUUAAUUCGAAGCUACGCGAAGAACCUUACCAGGUCUUGACAUACUAUGCAAAUCUAAGAGAUUAGACGUUCCCUUCGGGGACAUGGAUACAGGUGGUGCAUGGUUGUCGUCAGCUCGUGUCGUGAGAUGUUGGGUUAAGUCCCGCAACGAGCGCAACCCUUAUUAUCAGUUGCCAGCAUUAAGUUGGGCACUCUGGUGAGACUGCCGGUGACAAACCGAGGAAGGGUGGGGGAUGACGUCAAAUCAUCAUGCCCCUUAUGACCUGGGCUACACACGUGCUACAAUGGAUGGUACAACGAGUUGCGAACUCGCGAGAGUAAGCUAAUCUCUUAAAGCCAUUCUCAGUUCGGAUUGUAGGCUGCAACUCGCCUACAUGAAGUCGGAAUCGCUAGUAAUCGCGGAUCAGCAUGCCGCGGUGAAUACGUUCCCGGGCCUUGUACACACCGCCCGUCACACCAUGAGAGUUUGUAACA
rnacentral:rRNA from 2 species